GUAGGGUGGCAAGCGUUGUCCGGAAUUAUUGGGCGUAAAGCGCGCGCAGGCGGUCCUUUAAGUCUGAUGUGAAAGCCCACGGCUCAACCGUGGAGGGUCAUUGGAAACUGGGGGACUUGAGUACAGAAGAGGAAAGCGGAAUUCCAAGUGUAGCGGUGAAAUGCGUAGAGAUUUGGAGGAACACCAGUGGCGAAGGCGGCUUUCUGGUCUGUAACUGACGCUGAGGCGCGAAAGCGUGGGGAGCAAACAGGAUUAGAUACCCUGGUAGUCCACGCCGUAAACGAUGAGUGCUAAGUGUUAGGGGGUUUCCGCCCCUUAGUGCUGCAGUUAACGCAUUAAGCACUCCGCCUGGGGAGUACGGCCGCAAGGCUG
rnacentral:rRNA from 1 species